rnacentral:rRNA from 1 species
UGGGGAAUUUUGGACAAUGGGCGAAAGCCUGAUCCAGCAAUGCCGCGUGUGUGAAGAAGGCCUUCGGGUUGUAAGGCACUUUUGUCCGGAAAGAAAUCCUUGGCUCUAAUACAGUCGGGGGAUGACGGUACCGGAAGAAUAAGCACCGGCUAACUACGUGCCAGCAGCCGCGGUAAUACGUAGGGUGCAAGCGUUAAUCGGAAUUACUGGGCGUAAAGCGUGCGCAGGCGGUUUGCUAAGACCGAUGUGAAAUCCCCGGGCUCAACCUGGGAACUGCAUUGGUGACUGGCAGGCUAGAGUAUGGCAGAGGGGGGUAGAAUUCCACGUGUAGCAGUGAAAUGCGUAGAGAUGUGGAGGAAUACCGAUGGCGAAGGCAGCCCCCUGGGCCAAUACUGACGCUCAUGCACGAAAGCGUGGGGAGCAAACAGGAUUAGAUACCCUGGUAGUCCACGCCCUAAACGAUGUCAACUAGUUGUUGGGGAUUCAUUUCCUUAGUAACGUAGCUAACGCGUGAAGUUGACCGCCUGGGGAGUACGGUCGCAAGAUUAAAACUCAAAGGAAUUGACGGGGUCAUAGCUGUUUCCU